UACGGAGGAUGCGAGCGUUAUCCGGAUUUAUUGGGUUUAAAGGGUGCGUAGGCGGGCUGUUAAGUCAGCGGUAAAAGCCCGGGGCUCAACCCCGGCGAGCCGUUGAAACUGGCUGUCUUGAGAUGUCGAGAGGUAUGCGGAAUGCGCAGUGUAGCGGUGAAAUGCUUAGAUAUUGCGCAGAACUCCGAUUGCGAAGGCAGCAUACCGGCGCCCGACUGACGCUGAGGCACGAAAGCGUGGGGAUCGAACAGG
rnacentral:rRNA from 1 species